GACGAACGCUGGCGGCGUGCUUAACACAUGCAAGUCGAACGAAGAGCGAUGGAAGCUUGCUUCUAUCAAUCUUAGUGGCGCACGGGUGAGUAACGCGUAAUCAACCUGCCCUUCAGAGGGGGACAACAGUUGGAAACGACUGCUAAUACCGCAUACGAUCUAAUCUCGGCAUCGAGGAUAGAUGAAAGGUGGCCUCUACAUGUAAGCUAUCACUGAAGGAGGGGAUUGCGUCUGAUUAGCUAGUUGGAGGGGUAACGGCCCACCAGGGCGAUGAUCAGUACCCGGUCUGAGAGGAUGAACGGCCACAUUGGGACUGAGACACGGCCCAGACUCCUACGGGAGGCAGCAGUGGGGAAUCUUCCGCAAUGGACGAAAGUCUGACGGAGCAACGCCGCGUGAGUGAUGACGGCCUUCGGGUUGUAAAGCUCUGUUAAUCGGGACGAAAGGCCUUCUUGCGAAUAGUGAGAAGGAUUGACGGUACCGGAAUAGAAAGCCACGGCUAACUACGUG
rnacentral:rRNA from 1 species